UGCAAGUCGAACGCGAAAGUCCCCUUCGGGGGACGAGUAGAGUGGCGUCCGGGUGAGUAACACGUAGGUAAUCUACCUUCGGGUGGGGAAUAACGCAGGGAAACUUGCGCUAAUACCGCAUAAUGCAGCGGCACCACAUGGUGACAGUUGUUAAAGCGGGGGAUUUUCGAACCUCGCGCCUGAAGAGGAGCCUGCGGCAGAUUAGCUAGUUGGUAGGGUAACGGCUUACCAAGGCGACGAUCUGUAGCCGGCCUGAGAGGGCGGUCGGCCACACUGACACUGACAUACGGGUCAGACUCCUACGGGAGGCAGCAGUCGGGAAUUUUGGGCAAUGGGCGAAAGCCUGACCCGGCAACGCCGCGUGAAGGAUGAAAUCCCUCGGGAUGUAAACUUCGCAAGAAUGGGAAGAAUUAGCGAGUAUUAAUACUGCUCGUGAUGACGGUACCAUUUGUAAGCUCCGGCUAACUCCGUGCCAGCAGCCGCGGUAAUACGGGGGGAGCAAGCGUUGUUCGGAUUUACUGGGCGUAAAGGGCGCGUAGGCGGCCAGCGCAAGUCAGUUGUGAAAUCUCCGGGCUUAACUCGGAAAGGUCAACUGAUACUGCGCGGCUAGAGUGCAGAAGGGGCAACUGGAAUUCUCGGUGUAGCGGUGAAAUGCGUAGAUAUCGAGAGGAACACCUGCGGCGAAGGCGGGUUGCUGGGCUGACACUGACGCUGAUGCGCGAAAGCCAGGGGAGCGAACGGGAUUAGAUACCCCGGUAGUCCUGGCCUUAAACGAUGGAUGCUUGGUGUCUGGAGUUUUUAUAGUCUCCGGGUGCCGUAGCUAACGCGUUAAGCAUCCCGCCUGGGGAGUACGGUCGCAAGACUGAAACUCAAAGAAAUUGACGGGGACCCGCACAAGCGGUGGAGCAU
rnacentral:rRNA from 1 species